ACGUUUCGACGGACGCUAAUACCGCAUACGUCCUACGGGAGAAAGUGGGGGAUCUUCCUAUGCCUAGCUAUCAGAUGAGCCUAGGUCGGAUUAGCUAGUUGGUGAGGUAAAGGCUCACCAAGGCGACGAUCCGUAACUGGUCUGAGAGGAUGAUCAGUCACACUGGAACUGAGACACGGUCCAGACUCCUACGGGAGGCAGCAGUGGGGAAUAUUGGACAAUGGGCGAAAGCCUGAUCCAGCCAUGCCGCGUGUGUGAAGAAGGUCUUCGGAUUGUAAAGCACUUUAAGUUGGGAGGAAGGGCUGUAGGCUAAUAUCCUGCAGUUUUGACGUUACCGACAGAAUAAGCACCGGCUAACUUCGUGCCAGCAGCCGCGGUAAUACGAAGGGUGCAAGCGUUAAUCGGAAUUACUGGGCGUAAAGCGCGCGUAGGCGGUUUGCUAAGUUGGAGGUGAAAGCCCCGGGCUCAACCUGGGAACUGCCUCCAAAACUGGCUGACUAGAGUACGGUAGAGGGUGGUGGAAUUUCCUGUGUAGCGGUGAAAUGCGUAGAUAUAGGAAGGAACACCAGUGA
rnacentral:rRNA from 1 species